rnacentral:rRNA from 1 species
UGAAAUCUGGCUCUCGGGCCCGAGUUGUAAUUUGUAGAGGAUACUUUUGAUGCGGUGCCUUCCGAGUUCCCUGGAACGGGACGCCAUAGAGGGUGAGAGCCCCGUCUGGUCGGAUGCCAAAUCUCUGUAAAGUUCCUUCGACGAGUCGAGUAGUUUGGGAAUGCUGCUCUAAAUGGGAGGUAUAUGUCUUCUAAAGCUAAAUACCGGCCAGAGACCGAUAGCGCACAAGUAGAGUGAUCGAAAGAUGAAAAGCACUUUGAAAAGAGAGUUAAAAAGUACGUGAAAUUGUUGAAAGGGAAGCGUUUAUGACCAGACUUGGGCUUGGUUAAUCAUCUGGGGUUCUCCCCAGUGCACUUUUCCAGUCCAGGCCAGCAUCAGUUUUCCCCGGGGGAUAAAGACUUCGGGAAUGUGGCUCCCUUCGGGGAGUGUUAUAGCCCGUUGUGUAAUACCCUGGGGGGGACUGAGGUUCGCGCAUCUGCAAGGAU